UGCCAGCCGCCGCGGUAAUACGGAGGGUGCAAGCGUUAAUCGGAAUUACUGGGCGUAAAGCGCGCGUAGGCGGCUUGAUCAGUCGGAUGUGAAAUCCCAGGGCUUAACCUUGGAACUGCAUUCGAUACUGUCAAGCUAGAGUACAGUAGAGGCAAGUGGAAUUUCAGGUGUAGCGGUGAAAUGCGUAGAUAUCUGAAGGAACAUCGGUGGCGAAGGCGACUUGCUGGACUGAUACUGACGCUGAGGUGCGAAAGCGUGGGGAGCAAACAGGAUUAGAUA
rnacentral:rRNA from 1 species